GUAAAGAAUAAUGGAUGACAGAUGCAGCCGGAGAAGUGGGACCAAUCUGGGAGGACCAAGGAUCCCAGCGGGGACCUUGGAGUUCACCCUGUAGGCACUGAGGAGCCAUAGAAAAUCCCCGAGCAGUAGCAAGGCUGUUUGACAGGUCCCAUCAGAUGUCUUUGCCGGGACUUCCCUGGUGGUCCAGUGGUUAAGAAUCCAUCUUGCAAUGCAGGGGACGCCGGUUUGAUCCUUGGCCAGGGAACUAAGAUCCUGCAAGCUGCGGGGCAGCUAAGCCCAUGCACCACAACUAGAGAGCCUGUGCACCACAAGGAAGAGCCCACGUGCCGCAACUAAGACCUAAUGAAGCCAAUAAAUAAAUAUUAAAAAAAAUAAAUAUUCUUAAAAAAAAAAUGAUGUCUUUGUCAAACAGUGUGGAGUGUGUUCCGUGGGAAGAGCCUGCACAUGAGAGAUCUGUUUGGCGUUUGUCCCCAGGUAGAAGCGAUCAGGAGUGGGACAAAGCUAGAAAGCAAGACUCUUUCUUUCAGUUGCUCUUGUUUGCUGACCUUGGAAUUGGGAAGAAAGAUACUCCUGAGAGGCUUCUGCCAUAGAAUUUGCAUGGCUCAGUGAAUGAACAACAUGAGCUGUGAACAGUUAACAAAUAUCUACAGGGACUUCCCUGGUGGCACAGUGGUUAAGAAUCUGCCUGCCAAUGCAGGGGACAUGGGUUCCAUCCCGGUUCAGGAAGAUCCCACAUGCUGUGGAGCAACUAAGCCCGUGUGCCACAACUACUGAAGCCCGUGUGCCCUAGAGCCCGUGCACCGCCCCUACUGAACCCACAUGCUGCAACUACUGAAGCCCGUGUGCCUAGAGCCUGUGCUC